rfam:Thalassospira alkalitolerans strain JCM 18968 contig7, whole genome shotgun sequence.
AGGUGGUUGUCCAAAUCCACCGACGCUAAAGAGGCACACCAUCAUUGCCCACGUGCGGACGGGGAACCCCCAUCCACAGCGAGGCAGACUUCGCACGUUCCGGUAGGCACCGGAGCUUUUCAGCCUGUCGGUAGUCCGCGUAUAGCGCCUCCACCGCGCCUAAACGCAUCAGGUACCGC